GCUUCGCUGAGGAGUCCCACAAUAGGACGAAAUGGCCGUCCAUUGC
rnacentral:hammerhead_ribozyme from 1 species